rnacentral:rRNA from 1 species
ACCAGACUCCUACGGGAGGCAGCAGUGGGGAAUAUUGCACAAUGGGCGAAAGCCUGAUGCAGCAACGCCGCGUGAAGGAAGAAGGCCUUCGGGUCGUAAACUUCUGUCCUUGGGGAAGAGGAACUGACGGUACCUGACUAAGAAGCCCCGACUAACUACGUGCCAGCAGCCGCGGUAAUACGUAGGGGGCAAGCGUUAUCCGGAUUUACUGGGUGUAAAGGGAGCGUAGACGGCAACACAAGUCUGGAGUGAAAGCCCGGGGCUCAACCGCGGGACUGCUUUUGAAACUGUUAAGCUUGAGUGCAGGAGAGGUAAGCGGAAUUCCUAGUGUAGCGGUGAAAUGCGUAGAUAUUAGGAGGAACACCAGUGGCGAAGGCGGCUUACUGGACUGUAACUGACACUGAGGCUCGAAAGCGUGGGGAGCAAACAGGAUUAGAUACCCCUGUAAC